rnacentral:rRNA from 1 species
UACGGAGGGUGCGAGCGUUAAUCGGAAUUACUGGGCGUAAAGCGUGCGCAGGCGGUUGGGCAAGACAGAUGUGAAAUCCCCGGGCUUAACCUGGGAACUGCAUUUGUGACUGCCCGGCUAGAGUGUGUCAGAGGGGGGUAGAAUUCCACGUGUAGCAGUGAAAUGCGUAGAUAUGUGGAGGAAUACCGAUGGCGAAGGCAGCCCCCUGGGAUAACACUGACGCUCAUGCACGAAAGCGUGGGGAGCAAACAGG